CAAAUUAGAGCUUGAUUAAGUAUUUCAUUUACAUUGAAAUGAUAUUAUAUUUUAUAAUUGAUUUGU
rnacentral:tRNA from 1 species